rnacentral:rRNA from 1 species
GAUCCUGGCUCAGGAUGAACGCUGGCUGCGUGCCUAAUACAUGCAAGUAGAACGCUGAAGGAGGAGCUUGCUCUUUCCGGAUGAGUUGCGAACGGGUGAGUAACGCGUAGGUAACCUGCCUGGUAGCGGGGGAUAACUAUUGGAAACGAUAGCUAAUACCGCAUAACAGUAGAUAUUGCAUGAUAUCUGCUUGAAGGGCAAUUGCUCCACUACCAGAUGGACCUGUCGG